GACGAACGCUGGCGGCGUGCUUAACACAUGCAAGUCGAGCGGUAAGGCCCUUUCGGGGGUACACGAGCGGCGAACGGGUGAGUAACACGUGGGUGACCUGCCCUCAGCUCUGGGAUAAGCCUGGGAAACCGGGUCUAAUACCGGAUAUGACUCCAUGACGCAUGUUGUGGGGUGAAAGCCUUGUGCGGCUGAGGAUGGGCCCG
rnacentral:rRNA from 1 species